UACAGAGGGUGCGAGCGUUGUUCGGAAUUACUGGGCGUAAAGCGCGCGCAGGCGGCCUUUUAAGUCUCGUGGUGAAAUGCCGGGGCUCAACCCCGUGCCCGCCGGAGAUACUGGGAGGCUGGAGACGAGUAGAGGCAAGCGGAAUUCCGGGUGUAGCGGUGGAAUGCGUAGAGAUCCGGAAGAACACCGGAGGCGAAGGCGGCUUGCUGGGCUCGGUCUGACGCUGAGGCGCGAAAGCGUGGGGAGCGAACAGG
rnacentral:rRNA from 1 species